AGGGUUUUACCUGCCUCCCCAUACAUAAACCCUUACCCUCUUCUAGACGUCUCUCCACAACCUUACACAGCACACUCUGGCGAUCGACAGAGAGAAAGACAUCAUGGUUGGUAGUUUACACAGUUUGUGGGCAGAGAUCUGCCGUCUGAGAACGAUGAACACCCUAAGGUGAGUAAGGUCUGCCGUCUGCAAAUGAAGCGAAGCUCUAGGUUAUCAAUAACGUCUGCCGCCAAGUUUUGGUUCUGGACUUCUGGUGAAAAUCAUGCUUAUAUAGAGUUCAAUGGUCCAAUAACGGCUAGUACAGUUUUUCAAAGCAAAGGAAAUAAAAUUGGAUGACAAAUUCAGUAGUCACGUUGAUCAUAUCAAUACUUUCCAUCCAAAUCAACAGUUUCGUUGGAAAAUCCAAUCUUCUACCUAGAGUCACAGGUUUGCAUGAUGAGAUAUAAAACCUCAUUGCUAUUGCAUAACUUGCUUAGACUAUCCCGUUGAAUGGCAUAAGACAGUUUAGCAUUUUGUUUACUAGGAACCAUGCAUUCUCCUUCGAGCUCUCAUUAGUUGUAGAUUGUGAUAAUGAGUGUGGUUUGUUUUGAAUUUUAA